ensembl:lncRNA
UCUGGUGUCUGUCACAUCUCUGCCUGUCCUGAAUCCCCUGCCCUGGUUGCUGUAGACCAGUGUUCCCCAACCCUGGUCCUCCAGUACCCCCAACCCUGGUCCUCAAUUACCCCCAACCCUGGUCCUCAAACAUGGUCCUCCAGUACACCCAAUCCUGGUCCUCCAGUACCCCCAACCCUGGUCCUUCAGUACCCCCAACCCUGUUCCCCAACUCUGGUCCCCAACCCUGGUCCUCCAGUACCCCCAACCCUGGUCCUCCAGUACACCCAACAGUGUUCCCCAACCCUGGUCCUCCAGUACCCCCAACAGUGUUCCCCAACCCUGGUCCUCCAGUACCCCCAACAGUGUUCCCCAACCCUGGUCCUCCAGUACCCCCAACUGUGUUCCCCAACCCUGGUCCUCCAGUACCCCCAACAGUGUUCCCCAACCCUGGUCCUCCAGUACCCACGACUCUGGUCCUCCAGUACCCACGACUCUGGUCCUCCAGUACCCACGACUCUGGUCCUCCAGUACCCCCAACCCUGGACCUCCAGUACCCCCAACUCUGGUCCUCCAGUACCCCCAACAGUGUUCCCCAACUCUGGUCCUCCAGUAGCCCCAACCCUGGUGCCCAACCCUGGUCCCCAACCCUGGUCCUCCAGUACCCCCAACCCUGGUCCCCAACCCUGGUCCUCCAUUACCCCCAACCCUGGUCCCCCAGUACCCCCAACCCUGGUCCCCCAGUACCCCCAACCCUGGUCCCCCAGUACCCCCAACUCUGGUCCUCCAGUACCCCCAACUCUGGUCCUCCAGUACCCCCAACUCUGGUCCUCCAGUACCCCCAACUCUGGUCCUCCAGUACCCCCAACUCUGGUCCUCCAGUACCCCCAACUCUGGUCCUCCAGUACCCCCAACUCUGGUCCUCCAGUACCCCCAACCCUGGUCCUCCAGUACCCCCAACAGUGUUCCCCAACCCUGGUCCUCCAGUACCCCCAACCCUGGACCUCCAGUACCCCCAACAGGGUUCCCAAACUCUGGUCCUCCAGUACCCCCAACCCGGGGUCUCCUGUACCCCCAAACCCGGUCCUCCAGUACCCCCAAAUCCUGUUUCCAAACUCUGGUCCUCCAGUACCCCCAACCCGGGGCCUCCAGUACCCCCAACAGUGUUCCCCAACUCUGGUCCUCCAGUACCCCCAACAGUGUUCCCCAACUCUGGUCCUCCAGUACCCCCAACCCUGGACCUCCAGUACCCCCAAAAGGGUUCCCCAACCCUGGACCACCAGUACCCCUAACUCUGGUCCUCCAGUACCCCCAACCCUGGUCCCCAACACCCCCAACCCUGGUCCUCCAGUACCCCCAACCCUGGUCCUCCAGUACCCCCAACCCUGGUCCUCCAGUACCCCCAACCCUGGUCCUCCAGUACCCCCAACCCUGGUCCUCCAGUACCCCCAACCCUGGUCCUCCAGUACCCCCAACCCUGGUCCUCCAGUACCCCAACCCUGGUCCUCCAGCACCUCCAACCCUGGACCUCCAGUACCCCCAACCCUGGACCUCCAGUACCCCCAACGCUGGACCUCCAGUACCCCCAACUCUGGUCCUCCAGUACCCUCAACUGUGUUCCCCAACUCUGGUCCUCCAGUACCCCCAACCCUGGUCCCCAACCCUGGUCCUCCAGUACCCCCAACCCUGGUCCCCAACCCUGGUCCUCCAGUACCCCCAACCCUGGUCCCCCAGUACCCCCAACCCUGGACCUCCAGUACCCCCAACUCUGGUCCUCCAGUACCCUCAACUGUGUUCCCCAACUCUGGUCCUCCAGUACCCCCAACCCUGGUCCCCAACCCUGGUCCUCCAGUACCCCCAACCCUGGUCCCCAACCCUUUGUCCUCCAGUACCCCCAACCCUGGUCCCCAACCCUGGUCCCCCAGUACCCCCAACCCUGGUCCUCCAGUACCCCCAACUUUGGUCCUCCAGUACCCCCAACUCUGGUCCUCCAGUACCCCCAACUCUGGUCCCCAACCCUGGUCCUCCAGUACCCCCAACCCUGGUCCCCAACCCUGGUCCCCUAGUACCCCCAACCCUUGUCCCCCAGUACCCCCAACCCUGGUCCCCCAGUACCCCAAACCCUGGUCCCCCAGUACCCCCAACUCUGGUCCUCCAGUACCCCCAACUCUGGUCCUCCAGUACCCCCAACUCUGGUCCUCCAGUACCCCCAACUCUGGUCCUCCAGUACCCCCAACUCUGGUCCUCCAGUACCCCCAACUCUGGUCCUCCAGUAAACCCAACUCUGGUCCUCCAGUACCCCCAACCCUGGUCCUCCAGUACCCCCAACCCUGGUCCUCCAGUACCCCCAACCCUGAUCCUCCAGUACCCCCAACCCUGGUCCUCCAGUACCCCCAACCCUGGUCCUCCAGUACCCCCAACCCUGAUCCUCCAGUACCCCCAACUCUGGUCCUCCAGUACCCCCAACCCUGGUCCUCCAGUACCCCCAACCCUGGUCCUCCAGUACCCCCAACCCUGGUCCUCCAGUACCCCCAACCCUGGACCUCCAGUACCCCCAACAGGGUUCCCAAACUCUGGUCCUCCAGUACCCCCAACCCGGGGUCUCCUGUACCCCCAAACCCGGUCCUCCAGUACCCCCAAAUCCUGCUUCCAAACUCUGGUCCUCCAGUACCCCCAACAGGGUUCCGAAACUCUGGUCCUCCAGUACCCCCAACCCGGGGUCUCCUGUACCCCCAAACCCGGUCCUCCAGUACCCCCAAAUCCUGCUUCCAAACUCUGGUCCUCCAGUACCCCCAACCCGGGGCCUCCAGUACCCCCAACAGUGUUCCCCAACUCUGGUCCUCCAGUACCCCCAACAGUGUUCCCCAACUCUGUUCCUCCAGUACCCCCAACCCUGGACCUCCAGUACCCCCAAAAGGGUUCCCCAACCCUGGACCACCAGUACCCCCAACCCUGGUCCCCAACACCCUCAACCCUGGUCCUCCAGUACCC